CCUGCACGAAUGGCGUAAUGAUGGCCAGGCUGUCUCCACCCGAGACUCAGUGAAAUUGAACUCGCUGUGAAGAUGCAGUGUACCCGCGGCAAGACGGAAAGACCCCGUGAACCUUUACUAUAGCUUGACACUGAACAUUGAGCCUUGAUGUGUAGGAUAGGUGGGAGGCUUUGAAGUGUGGACGCCAGUCUGCAUGGAGCCGACCUUGAAAUACCACCCUUUAAUGUUUGAUGUUCUAACGUGGACCCGUGAUCCGGGUUGCGGACAGUGUCUGGUGGGUAGUUUGACUGGGGCGGUCUCCUCCUAAAGAGUAACGGAGGAGCACGAAGGUUGGCUAAUCCUGGUCGGACAUCAGGAGGUUAGUGCAAUGGCAUAAGCCAGCUUGACUGCGAGCGUGACGGCGCGAGCAGGUGCGAAAGCAGGUCAUAGUGAUCCGGUGGUUCUGAAUGGAAGGGCCAUCGCUCAACGGAUAAAAGGUACUCCGGGGAUAACAGGCUGAUACCGCCCAAGAGUUCAUAUCGACGGCGGUGUUUGGCACCUCGAUGUCGGCUCAUCACAUCCUGGGGCUGAAGUAGGUCCCAAGGGUAUGGCUGUUCGCCAUUUAAAGUGGUACGCGAGCUGGGUUUAGAACGUCGUGAGACAGUUCGGUCCCUAUCUGCCGUGGGCGCUGGAGAACUGAGGGGGGCUGCUCCUAGUACGAGAGGACCGGAGUGGACGCAUCACUGGUGUUCGGGUUGUCAUGCCAAUGGCACUGCCCGGUAGCUAAAUGCGGAAGAGAUAAGUGCUGAAAGCAUCUAAGCACGAAACUUGCCCCGAGAUGAGUUCUCCCUGAGACUUUAGGUCUCCUGAAGGAACGUUGAAGACGACGACGUUGAUAGGCCGGGUGUGUAAGCGCAGCGAUGCGUUGAGCUAACCGGUACUAAUGAACCGUGAGGCUUAACCUUACA
rnacentral:rRNA from 1 species